AUGUGUUCAUUUCAUAUUCAUAUUGUCUUUCUUUUUGUUAUCUCUUCUGUGAGGAACUGAAGUCAGCUGUACUGAGAACAGUGUAGAGUCAGCUGUACUGAGAACUGUGUAGAGUCAGCUGUACUGAGAACUGUGUAGAGUCAGCUGUACUGAGAGCUGUGUAGAGUCAGCUGUACUGAGAGCUGUGUAGAGUCAGCUGUACUGAGAACUGUGUAGAGUCAGCUGUACUGAGAACUGUGUAGAGUCAGCUGUACUGAGAACUGUGUAGAGUCAGCUGUACUGAGAGCUGUGUAGAGUCAGCUGUACUGAGAACUGUGUAGAGUCAGCUGUACUGAGAGCUGUGUAGAGUCAGCUGUACUGAGAACAGUGUAGAGUCAGCUGUACUGAGAACUGUGUAGAGUCAGCUGUACUGAGAACUGUGUAGAGUCAGUUGUACUGAGAGCUGUGUAGAGUCAGCUGUACUGAGAGCUGUGUAGAGUCAGCUGUACUGAGAGCUGUGUAGAGUCAGCUGUACUGAGAACUGUGUAGAGUCAGCUGUACUGAGAACUGUGUAGAGUCAGCUGUACUGAGAACUGUGUAGAGUCAGCUGUACUGAGAGCUGUGUAGAGUCAGUUGUACUGAGAGCUGUGUAGAGUCAGUUGUACUGAGAGCUGUACUGAGAGCUGUGUAGAGUCAGUUGUACUGAGAGCUGUGUAGAGUCAGUUGUACUGAGAGCUGUACUGAGAGCUGUGUAGAGUCCGCUGUACUGAGAGCUGUGUAGAGUCAGUUGUACUGAGAGCUGUGUAGAGUCAGUUGUACUGAGAGCUGUACUGAGAGCUGUGUAGAGUCAGCUGUACUGAGAACUGUGUAGAGUCAGUUGUACUGAGAACUGUGUAGAGUCAGCUGUACUGAGAACUGUGUAGAGUCAGCUGUACUGAGAACUGUGUAGAGUCAGCUGUACUGAGAGCUGAAAAUCAUGAUCAAAUACACUCCAUUAAGUAGGUUACUGGCCCAACGCUCUAACCACUAGGCUACCUGCCGCCCCACACUGUCACUACAUUAAGUAGGUUACUGGCCCAACGCUCUAACCACUAGGCUACCUGCCGCCCCACACUGUCACUACAUUAAGUAGGUUACUGGCCCAACGCUCUAACCACUAGGCUACCUGCCGCCCCACACUGUCACUACAUUAAGUAGGUUACUGGCCCAACGCUCUAACCACUAGGCUACCUGCCGCUAUAGGGUUUAUAAGGGUUUUAUCUCUCUCUCCCAAUGCUCUAACCACUAGGCUACCUGCCACCCUCUGCACACCCUAAUUGACAAACACACUAAAUCAAAGGAAAAGUGUGCUAUCAACAGAUGAAUUUAUCAGGCCCUAUCAACAGAUGAAUUUAUCAGGUCCUAUCAACAGAUGAAUUUAUCAGGUCCUAUCAACAGAUGAAUUUAUCAGGUCCUAUCAACAGAUGAAUUUAUCAGGUCCUAUCAACAGAUGAAUUUAUCAGGUCCUAUCAACAGAUGAAUUUAUCAGGUCCUAUCAACAGAUGAAUUUAUCAGGUCCUAUCAACAGAUGAAUUUAUCAGGUCCUAUCAACAGAUGAAUUUAUCAGGUCCUAUCAACAGAUGAAUUUAUCAGGUGCUAUCAACAGAUGAAUUUAUCAGGUCCUAUCAACAGAUGAAUUUAUCAGGGGCUAUCAACAGA